AUUUAAGUCUUGACUUAAAAUAUGCUUUCAAGUAGUGAAUGAGUUGUAGAAAUAGAUUUAUACACUACUCUUCUUUUGUAUCAAACAUUAAAGAUUGCUAUAUUGAUAGUUAGGUAGAGAAAUCAUUUAACCAUUAAUAUAGUGAUUAUCACAAUAUCAUUUAGAAAUAAAUGAUAUUGAGAGGAUACUUGAAUAUCAUCAAUAAUUUUAAGUCCA
rnacentral:lncRNA from 1 species